GACGAACGCUGGCGGUGUGCUUAACACAUGCAAGUCGAACGGAAAGGCCCUGCUUUUGUGGGGUGCUCGAGUGGCGAACGGGUGAGUAACACGUGAGUAACCUGCCCUUGACUUUGGGAUAACUUCAGGAAACUGGGGCUAAUACCGGAUAGGAGCUCCUGCAGCAUGGUGGGGGGUGGAACGUUUCGGCGGUUGGGGAUGGACUCGCGGCUUAUGGCCUAGUUGGUGGGGUAGUGGCUUGCCAAGGCUUUGACGGGUAGCCCGCCUGGGAGGGUGGCCGGCCACAUUGGGCCUGAGAUACGGCCCAGACUCGUACGGGGGGCAGCGGUGGGGAAUAUUGCACAGUGGGCGGGAGCCUGAUACAGCAACGCCGCGGUCGUGAUGACGGCCUGCUGGUUAUAAACCGCUUUCGCCUGUGACGAAGCUUGAGUGACGGUAAUGGGUAAAGAAGCACCGGCUAACUACGUG
rnacentral:rRNA from 1 species